CCCGGCGUAGCCCAAAGCAGAGGCAACGAGCUUAGAACUCGUCCAGUGCGGGUUCGAGUCCCGCCGCCGGGA
rnacentral:tRNA from 1 species